AACGAACGCUGGCGGCGUGGAUAAGACAUGCAAGUCGAGCGCUGAUUUCAGGGUAGCAAUAUUCUGAGGUCGGAGCGGCGCAAGGGUGCGUAACACGUGGGUAAUCUGCCAUGAAGUUCGGGAUAACUUGCUGAAAGGCGAGCUAAUACCGGAUGUGACAAUCGGGAGACAUCUCCUGAUUGUUAAAGUUGGGGACCGUAAGGCCUGACGCUUCUUGAUGAACCCGCGGCCUAUCAGCUAGUUGGUGAGGUAACGGCCCACCAAGGCUAAGACGGGUAGCUGGUCUGAGAGGACGACCAGCCACACUGGAACUGAGACACGGUCCAGACACCUACGGGUGGCAGCAGUCGAGAAUUUUUCACAAUGGGCGCAAGCCUGAUGGAGCGACGCCGCGUGGGGGAUGAAUGGCUUCGGCCCGUAAACCCCUGUCAUUCGCGAUCAAACGUUAUUAUUUAAAAGAUGAUGACCUGAUAGUAGCGGAAGAGGAAGGGACGGCUAACUCUGUGCCAGCAGCCGCGGUAAUACAGAGGUCCCGAGCGUUGUUCGGAUUCACUGGGCGUAAAGGGUGCGUAGGUGGUGAGGUAAGUCGGAUGUGAAAGCUCGGAGCUCAACUCCGAAAUGGCAU
rnacentral:rRNA from 1 species